rnacentral:rRNA from 1 species
CCUACGGGUGGCAGCAGUAGGGAAUAUUGCUCAAUGGGGGAAACCCUGAAGCAGCAACGCCGCGUGGAGGAUGAAGGUUUUCGGAUUGUAAACUCCUUUUGUUAGAGAAGAUAAUGACGGUAUCUAACGAAUAAGCACCGGCCAACACCGUGCCAGCAGCCGGGGAAACACGGUGGGUGCAGGCGUUAUUCGGAAUCACUGGGCGUAAAGCGCGCGUAGGCGGGAUAGCUAGUAAGAUGUGAAAACCUAGGGCCUAAACAUAGAACUGCAUUUGAAACUGUUAUUCUAGAGGAUGGGAGAGGUAGGUGGAAUUCGUGGUGUAGGGGUAAAAUCCGUAGAGAUCAAGAGGAAUACUCAUUGCGAAGGCGACCUGCUAGAACCUAACUGACGCUGAUGCGCGAAAGCGUGGGGAGCAAACAGGAUUAGAUACCCUUGUAGUC